GUGGAUAAAGUGGGAAAAAAUGUGGAAUAACUUCAAAUACAGGUAACAGAAUGUCUUCAGUCAUGAGGGAGGAAGCCGUAGUGAAAAUCUGGAUAUGAACUCCGACAGAUAUUUGUCAAAAAGAAAAAACAUCAAUAUAGGAGACUCAGCUGCUCGGCAACAAAGUAAUCCCUUAAGAGAAAAUGUUGCCUUACACCUGGCAUGCCAGGCCCUUCAAAGAAUUCUUCAAAGAGAAACCAACAUUGUGCCACUGAAAUCCCUCAAAUUGUUGAAAUAAGUAUCAAAAAGGAUAAUGAUUUUUGUGUUACCCCAGGAACAAGACUUGCACGAAGAGAUUCCUACUUUUGACAUGCUCCAUGGGGUGGGAAGAGAAACAUUUCUGUUACAGUGACCCAGGAUUCAUUGGAUACUGAUAAAAAGUUUGGUAGAACUCAAAGUGGACUUCAAAGGAGAGAGAGGUGCUAAGCUCUGUACAGGACAUGGACAAUGUUUCCAGAAGAACUGUAGGGAAGUCGCUCUCUGAGACAGGUUGCAGGAUACUGUGGGCUUGUGUUUUCCCAUGAGAACUUAUAACAAGCAGUCAAAGCCUCUCUUUUCCAAUAAAAGAAAAAUCUAUUUUUCUGAAUGAAUGCUGGAGAAAUGCCCUUUUCCUGCUGGCUCAGAUUUAGCCCCCAAAUGGCAUUUGAUUAAACAGCAUACAGCUCCUGUGAGCCCACAUUCAACAUUUUUUGAUGCAUUUGAUCCAUCUUUGUUGGUUUCUACAGAAGAUGAAGAUAGUUUAGAGAGAGAAGACUGCUUAGUAUUGAAGAAGGGGUUGAUCCCCCUCCCGAUGCACAAAUGCAUAUGUUUGAAGCGACUGCACAGGUUAAUCCAUUAAAUAAACUGGGACCAAAGUUAGCUCCUGGAACGACUGAAAUAAGUGGGGACAGUUCUGCAGUUCCACAUGCUAAUUGUGACCUGAAAGAGUAUACAGCCACCCUGUGUUUGCAGCCAUGGAGGGCAGAAGCAGCAUGAGGUACAUGCCCAUGUUAGCAGACAGGGAGCUUGGGAAGUCCACACACAGGCUGAUUACAGAUACUGCUUCAGACUACAGGGAAUCCUUGUUAUUGGAGAGUGAUGGACCGUUAUGAAUCAGAAGCCCUUCUAGAAGGGAAAUGUGAAGACACAUUUUUGCUCAGGGAUGCUGGGCAAAGGGACUGCCUCUUCUCUAUGAACUUCUGGGGCUACAACAGAUCCUUGCAGGCCUGAAUUGAGCAGUAAUCACAACUUUGGUUUUGAUGCCCAUGACCCCUGUUUAUGUCACUCCUCCACUGUAACAGGACUUUAAGAACAUUAUAAAGAUCCCAGUUAUUGCAUGUUUUUUGAACUGUUGCUUACUAUAUUACUAGAUAGGACUUUCCCUUUUAGCUGUAGUAUAUCUGUUGUACAGUAAUCUGCAGGUGUACUACAUAUGAUGGAAUUAAUGGGCUCCCUUUACCAUCAAUGUUACAAGAUUUUUGAAAAGAGUAUCUUUAUAAACAAAAAUUUAGGGUUCACUAGUGAGAACGAGAACCAGUCAAGGCAAAG
rnacentral:lncRNA from 1 species